CUUGGAAUAUUUUGUCAUACAAACACAUAAGGAACUACUCAAACAAGAGUGUGGGUGUGUCAAAAGGACACUGGGGCCAAUCAGAAAGAAUUCUUCGUGGCCAAAGCUGGAACAAUUUGAGUAACAAUGACACAUAAAGAAUGAGAAGACUGAAGACCUGUCACAGAUUGGAGGAGAUUAAGGAGACCUAACAACUAAAUGCAAUGUGAGAUCCUGGUUUGGAUCUUGGAACAGAAAAUGGCCCUUAGAGUAAAAACUGGUGAGAUCUGAAUCAGGUGAUGUUAACCACAGCCCAACCAUGGCAGGUGACACUACAAAUGCCUACUUUGUUAAACAGUACAAUUUUGUUAAACUACUAUGAGAAUUUAAAUAUUCAAGUAUUAUUGCAAAGCAUUGUUCUAGACUUUGAAGAUACCGUAGUGAACACACAACAGACAGAAAUUCCUGCCUGC